GUCUCCCGAUCCUACUUUUUAAAGUUGGGUAGGUAGGUAGGCAAUUCUUUUUUCCUUUUUUAUUUUUGGUGGGGGAUUAUACUUUUACCAGUAGAUAUAUGAUCGUUUCUUACAGAAUAUUUCUUCUGAAAAAAAAAAUAAUACAAAUGUGUAUCUGUUGUAUAAAAGAAUAAAAUUAAAUAAUACAAUUUAAACUUUCUUAUUUAUUAUUUUGCUUACUUGAAAUAUAUACGACACUUGUCAUAUCGCAACUUAAAAAAAAUUAACCAGCAUUAUCCAAUAAAAACUUUUGGGGCGCAGCAUUUUAAGCGGGUAGGUAGGGGGACAGCAAAUAAAUAUAUUUUAAUUUUGGCCUUAAUGCGCCUUUAUUGAGUAGAGAAAACCUCUUGCUGAUAAAUGUAGUCUUUGUAUGUACUACAGAUGUACUAAUCUAAUGUUUUCAGACUUCCAUUGAAGUUAUACUGACUGGUAUUGCAAUAAUUGGCGGACUUUUUGGCAUCUUCUUCGUAGCUAUGUUUGGUAUUCCGGAGUGUGACCCUUCAGAUUUCUUUAGCCACUGUAAUUAUACAGACAACUUGUCAACAAAUCGUAACCUUGCAAAAGCCAUCCUGAUAUCUCUUCUUGUGAGUGAAAUUAUAGCAGUUGGAAGUAUCGUGAUACACUGCCUUGUGGCAAGACAGCAAAGAUUCAACACACGUCAAAAUGUUUAUUUUGCGGAUCGAGCUGGAAAUGUUGUCAUGACGACAGCUCGUGAACCAAGACCUUUUGCCGAAAGUUUUGGUCAUAAUCGUAACUAUGAUAGUUAUAGCGCCGACACACAAAUUAUAACUGGCGGUCACGUUACAGAUAAAAAUCGGAACGGUUUUUCAGGAGCCGUCAUACAUCCGCCACAGAAUACCGUUAUUCGCCGACCAAUGGAGUAUCCCCAGCACUCGGGAGCAUUCAGUCCAAACACACAGUAUAUACACGAAGGUCAAGGCCAUACUAUAGACGAAUCUGUAAAUAACUUGCAAGAGCAGAACAGAUUACUCAGAGAGCAGAUCGAAUUACAGCAACAACAGCUUCAGUUAUUGCAACAGCAGCAACGCCAUCAACAAUCACAACGUGCAUCGUCAUCAUCACCAGCAGGAGGUUCAUCAUCACCAGCACCUCCUGCUCCACCUCCAAGCUAUGAAUCUUGCCUGCAAUACCCUGACCAGUUUGAAGCCAAGCCAUCUGAUGGAACAGCUGGAAGGUUACUUGAAAGCCCAGUGUGACUUACCUGUUUUGAUACUAGUCUUCUGGCCAGUUUCUUUGGGGCCUUAAUAUUGUUUAUCUUGUUGCCCUGCAUGAAGAUAAGAGAUAAUGUUUUAGAAUCAGAGUCAACGAGAACAGAUAAAGAUGCCACCUUCUGAAGACAGACAGACCGCUCCUUCAGCGCCACCUAUGUGACAUUGCAUUCAGCGCCACCUGUGUGACAUGGCCUUCGGCGCCACCUAUAUGACAUUGCCUUCAGUGCCACCUAUGUGAAACACCACGCCACCUGCGUGAAGCUAAUUAUAAAUACUAAAUUUACUAGAUUCGAGACUUUAUUUGCUUAAGAAAAAAAAAACAGAACAAAACAACGACAAUGUUGGAUUGUGUAAGGGAAAUGUCAAUGAAAAGUAGCAUAAAAAAACCUGAAAACGAACGAUACUGACACACAAAUUAUCAAACGUUGCAUUUCAUAGUUGUGCUGUAUUUAGACAUAAUAUUUCUUAUAAGACAUAAAUCCUUGUAUUGUGAUAUAUGCAAUUUAAGUAUUAGGCUGUUUGUUGCUUACAAAUCUCAGAAGUUACAUAGAUAUUACAUAGAUAUUAAUGAAAGAAACAAACUCUUUACAGAGGUAGGUCAGCAGAUUUCAAGAAGUUCAUUAUACGAGAGGACGAGUUGUUUUAGUAGUGACCGUUUGUAACGCUGGUUUUUUUUUCGGAAUAAAUGGAAAAAGAACCAAACCUAAACUCACUAUGCUUAGUGUGUACUGGGAAAUUUUAAAGACAAAAAAGGUCUUCAUUGAAUUUGAAAGCACGCGUGCUUGAUUUCUAGAGAAGAAAACUCCAAUUUUUAAUUCUUCAUUCGGAUGUGUUCCCGAAGUGGCAUGUGUUAUUAAUGAACUAGAGGAAGGAGCGAGUCUUCCUUUAGCGAUGUGUGCCUUUCUUGAUUUAAAUAUUUUCAACAUCAUAAACGACUUCAUAAGCCUCUGAACGACAUUAUCUUGAAUAGAAAGGUCUUCUACAUAUAAUUUUAAUGUAGGUUUACGUCUUCUAUGGACGUAAAAUGAUAAGCGUCAGGGAUAUAUUUGGAAUAAUGAAAUUCCCACGUCAACAAUACGUGGCAGAAAUCUCUCAAUCAUACUAAGAUCUGUAUAUCCGGCGAUCUAACUCCAUUUACGAUGGAGCUAAGAAAUAUUGUUGAAAACACUGAAUGUUUUACAAAUGUGUAUACCAAGGUUGGCAAUAUUCAAUAUGGAGAAAUAUGGUGUCGUCUGCUGAACAGAAGAUCUCUUUAAGCUAGAUGUCGAUGUUGAAUAAGAAGCACUGGGUUUUAAUAUCUAGUCAUAGCUAAAUACUCCUGGAAAGCAAACCACUUAUUUUUGUAGCAAGCUACAGUAAAAUGUAAAUAUAAAAACUGAAUGCUACUUUUGUGCGUUUAUACGGGUAUAAACCUCAUUGGGACUUCUUGCAUAAUGCAAUCAUCCAAGUUCUUUCAAAUCUGAAAGGCACAUGAGCAAUUGUAUAACUAGCGUUAUUCUGCAAAGAAAUUAUUUCAACAUCGGUAUUUCUUCCUACACCCGCUUCAUUGUGUUACUUAAAUUAAAAUACUCAGUUUUACAAAUUUAAAGGUCAAUAUAUUGUAUUCGAUUAUACUUGUACAGGUCAGUUCAUUGUAUUAAUAAAUCACUUACAUUCAUUUAGUAAUUCUUGCCAAAACAUUCUAACAUACGUAGUAUUGUUAGUUUAGUCAUAUUUUAUAUUGCAGAAUGGUUGAUAUUUUCUACGACUGUGAUUAUUGCUUUGCACAUGUUCAUUCAAUUUGUAUUCCACUUGCUAGUUUCACUGCAUUAAUACAUGUUCUGAGAACGCCGAUUAAUUUAUUUGAAAAAAAUUUGAUAGGCGGCCAUCACUCUGUAUAAAAUUUGCUUAACAUAGACACAUACUUACCUGCACGUAUUGAAAUAACAGCAUCAGUUUUAUAAUUAUGCAAGAUAUAUAUAAUAUAUGCGCAAGGUUUAUUGAAAUAAACAUUUUGAAAUAUAUAUUGAAAUGAA